AGGGGUAUAGCUCAGAGGUAGAGCAUGUGUACUUGGCAUCCAUGAGGUUUUGGGUUCAAUCCCUAGUGCCUCCG
rnacentral:tRNA from 1 species